rnacentral:rRNA from 1 species
AACGAACGCUGGCGGCAUGCCUAACACAUGCAAGUCGAACGAAGCCUUCGGGCUUAGUGGCGCACGGGUGCGUAACGCGUGGGAAUCUGCCCUUUGGUUCGGAAUAACAGUUGGAAACGACUGCUAAUACCGGAUGAUGACGAAAGUCCAAAGAUUUAUCGCCAGAGGAUGAGCCCGUGUAGGAUUAGCUAGUUGGUGUGGUAAAGGCGCACCAAGGCGACGAUCCUUAGCUGGUCUGAGAGGAUGAUCAGCCACACUGGGACUGAGACACGGCCCAGACUCCUACGGGAGGCAGCAGUGGGGAAUAUUGGACAAUGGGCGAAAGCCUGAUCCAGCAAUGCCGCGUGAGUGAUGAAGGCCCUAGGGUUGUAAAGCUCUUUUACCCGGGAUGAUAAUGACAGUACCGGGAGAAUAAGCCCCGGCUAACUCCGUGCCAGCAGCCGCAGUAA